UACGUAGGUGACGAGCGUUAUCCGGAAUUACUGGGCGUAAAGCGCACGCAAGCGGUCCGACAAGUCUGGCGUGAAAUCUCCUGGCUUAACCAGGAGCGGUCGCUGGAAACUGUGGGGCUUGAGGCGAUGAGAGGGGUGCAGAAUUCCUGGUGUAGCGGUGAAAUGCGCAGAUAUCAGGAAGAACACCCGUGGCUAAGGCGGCUCUCUAGUACGGUACUGACGCUGAGACGCGAAAGCGUGGGGAGCGAACAGG
rnacentral:rRNA from 1 species